rnacentral:rRNA from 1 species
AGGACGAACGCUGGCGGCGCGCCUAACACAUGCAAGUCGAACGAGCGAGAGGAGGUUUACUUUCUCAAGCGAGUGGCGAACGGGUGAGUAACGCGUGAGGAACCUGCCUCAAAGAGGGGGACAACAGUUGGAAACGACUGCUAAUACCGCAUAAGCCCACGACCCGGCAUCGGGUAGAGGGAAAAGGAGCAAUCCGCUUUGAGAUGGCCUCGCGUCCGAUUAGCUAGUUGGUGAGGUAAUGGCCCACCAAGGCGACGAUCGGUAGCCGGACUGAGAGGUUGAACGGCCACAUUGGGACUGAGACACGGCCCAGACUCCUACGGGAGGCAGCAGUGGGGAAUAUUGCACAAUGGGGGAAACCCUGAUGCAGCGACGCCGCGUGGAGGAAGAAGGUCUUCGGAUUGUAAACUCCUGUUGUUGAGGAAGAUAAUGACGGUACUCAACAAGGAAGUGACGGCUAACUACGUGCCAGCAGCCGCGGUAAAACGUAGGUCACAAGCGUUGUCCG